UGCGUAGGCGGAUUAAUAAGUCAGUGGUGAAAACCUUCAGCUUAACUGGAGACUUGCCAUUGAUACUGUUAGUCUUGAGUACGGUCAAGGUAGGCGGAAUGUGUAAUGUAGCGGUGAAAUGCUUAGAUAUUACACAGAACACCGAUUGCGAAGGCAGCUUACUGGGCCAUUACUGACGCUGAUGCACGAAAGCGUGGGGAGCGAACAGGAUUAGAUACCCUGGUAGUCC
rnacentral:rRNA from 1 species